GACGAACGCUGGCGGCGUGCUUAACACAUGCAAGUCGAACGGAAAGGCCCUGCUUUUGUGGGGUGCUCGAGUGGCGAACGGGUGCGUAACACGUGAGUAACCUGCCCUUGACUUUGGGAUAACUUCAGGAAACUGGGGCUAAUACCGGAUAGGAGCUCCUGCUGCAUGGUGGGGGUUGGAAAGUUUCGGCGGGUGGGGAUGGACUCGCGGCUUAUCAGCUUGUUGGUGGGGUAGUGGCUUACCAAGGCUUUGACGGGUAGCCGGCCUGAGAGGGUGACCGGCCACAUUGGGACUGAGAUACGGCGCAGACUCCUACGGGAGGCAGCAGUGGGGAAUAUUGCACAAUGGGCGGAAGCCUGAUGCAGCAACGCCGCGUGCGGGAUGACGGCCUUCGGGUUGUAAACCGCUUUCGCCUGUGACGAAGCGUGAGUGACGGUAAUGGGUAAAGAAGCACCGGCUAACUACGUG
rnacentral:rRNA from 1 species